rnacentral:rRNA from 1 species
UACAGAGGUCUCAAGCGUUGUUCGGAUUCAUUGGGCGUAAAGGGUGCGUAGGUGGCGAUGUAAGUCUGGUGUGAAAUCUCGGGGCUCAACCUCGAAAUUGCAUUGGAUACUGCGUUGCUUGAGGAUUGUAGAGGAGAGUGGAAUUCACGGUGUAGCAGUGAAAUGCGUAGAUAUCGUGAGGAAGACCAGUUGCGAAGGCGACUCUCUGGGCAAUUCCUGACACUGAGGCACGAAGGCCAGGGAGCAAACGGG